CCUGCAUGCCCGACGCCUCCUCCUCGUGCCAAGCCGUCGUCUCCUCCCUUGCCCUAACCGCUUCUCUUCCAAAUCGACGCCGCACAGUUUCUUCUUCUUCGGUACAUAAGCCAUCGACCAAGGUGAAGAUGGGUUCUUCGUCUCUCUCGACUCCUCUACUUCUUCCCCGCUUUUGAUCUGUGCGCCGAGGCGGAGCACCGUGCCCUAGAUCAGAUUCUGGACAGCACUGCCGACAUCACCGCCGAGCCCUAGCAUCUGUACCCGACGCCAGUAGAGGACUUGCCGCACUGACCUUUGCCAGAGAAGGUCGGGACUUUCCUCUGCCCCAGCGUUGACGCCGACGUCGACCCCCCUCUGCACUAAUCAUCUCGGUCGGUCUCACCAGGAGUCGGUUGAUGCGUCGGCUGCCCACAGACCUCGCUCAGCAGAACCCUAGUCGACGAUCCACCAUCGGCGAUCUGGCCUUGCCGAGCCUAGUUGAUCUGGCCGCAGUCACCACCGACUGCCAAUUGAUCCUCUUCCAGCACAGAAAGGUCAUAGUUUCCUAUACUGAGCCUUUCUUCUUGUGUCACAGCAAUAUCCGUAAUGCAUCAGAGAGGAAGCUCGAGUUUGAAUUCGGCUCUGGCAAGGAGAUUAGCCAUUUGUGGAUAGCCGCUGCCACCAGAUCCUUUGCUCCAGCUGUGGAUCACCGGCUGAGGUUUCAGAGUUGGGACUUGGACGUGAGACAAGCAUCUCGAUGUCGGAUUUAGACCGGAUCGGAUACGAUCUUCUUAUUGGAGGUUGAGGCUGUCCGGAGGAGUUCCAGUCACUAGUCCCCUGCAGAUCGCGAGGAUGUGUUUU